rnacentral:rRNA from 1 species
GCUAUAGCCUUGCCAGCGGGCUCGGGAAUACGGAGGGUGCAAGCGGUUUCCUGAUUUAUUGGGUUUAAAGGGCCCGUAGGCGGACUUGUAAGUCAGUGGUGAAAUCUCAUAGCUUAACUAUGAAACUGCCAUUGAUACUGCAGGUCUUGAGUAAAUUUGAAGUGGCUGGAAUAAGUAGUGUAGCGGUGAAAUGCAUAGAUAUUACUUAGAACACCAAUUGCGAAGGCAGGUCACUAAGAUUUAACUGACGCUGAUGGACGAAAGCGUGGGUAGCGAACAGGAUUAGAUACCCCUGUAGUC